UUAUCCCUGAGCUCUUAUACUGCCUUUGUAUUACUGAGGAUUACAACGCUAAUGCUCUGUGUCUUAAGACUGAUGGUGGAUGAAUGUCUCAGCAUGUCGAAUACCAGUAUGGCCUUUAAGGAUGAUGUUUACUAUAAUAAAUAAUCUGAGAUAGCUUUUAAUAACUUAGGUGUUCAUCCAUGCUGACUAAUCUCCUGUACACAAUUCCUAGGUGACCAUAGUUUCUCUGGUCCUACAAUCACUUCAUCUUCCAUAAGGCAGAUAUGUUGUCCAUUUUCUUAAAUAAUUACAAUGUGAGUGUUUAUAGCAAUGGCAGGAUUAAGUAUAUACUACACAAAAUGUGUACUGGAAGUAUUAAUCCCUGGGAUUCCUAUGAGGCAAAAGGAGAAGCCAACUAAAAAAUUUAUUUUUCCAGAUGUCAGAAGAGAAAGCAUACAUGCUUAGGCAUGAAACAAUUCUGCAAAAAAAGGAUGAAUUUCCUCCAUCACCCAGAUUUAUACUUAAGAGUCAGACGAAGUCACCUGGUUAAAGAUGCUCUGCGUCAAUUAAGUCAAGCUGAAGCCACUGACUUCCGCAAAGUAUUAGUGGUUGAAUUUAUUGAAGAAAUUCAUCCUGAGUCUGGAGGGGUUAGUUCAGAGUUCUUCCACUGUAUGUUUGAAGAGAUGACCAAGCCAGAAUAUGGAAUGUUCAUGUAUCCUGAAAUGGGUUCCUGCAUGUGGUUUCCUGCCAAGCCUAAACUUGAGAAAAAAAAGAUAUUUCCUUUUUGGAAUGCUGUGUGGACUAUCCUUAUUCAAUUUAAAUGUUGCUAACCUUCCUUUCCCACUGGCUCUGUAUAAAAAACUUCUGGACGAAAAGCCAUCAUUGGAAGAUUUAAAAGAACUCAGUCCUCGGUUGGGGAAGAGUUUGCAAGAAGUUCUAAAUGAUGAUGCUGAUGACAUUGGAGAUGCGCUUUGCAUACGCUUUUCUAUACAUUGGGACCAAAAUGAUGUUGACUUAAUUCCAAAUGGGAUCUCUAUACCUGUGGACCAAACCAACAAAGGGGACAAGCAGAGGAACAGAAGGAUUAACCCUGAGAAAGUCUUACUUAUAUUGAAAUCUAAUGGAUGGUAGAAGUUAUCAGGUAAAGAAGAAAUGCUACAUUCUGUGGCCUAACUACAAAAGAGAGACAACAAGACCUAUGAACUAAAGGAUUGCCCUUUGGCGAGACUCCCCUUUGCGAUUGCUUCACCUUCCCCGGUUCAUAGAACAAACCUCUUCUUAGUCUCUUUUGUUGUCUCUUGUCUGUUCAACAAACACCCACUGUGCAGAACCAUCCUCCGGUAAGGCGUCGAGUGGGGCCGUUUGGGAGCCCUUCUUCGUGGGGUGGGCACUGAAGGAACCGGGGCCCCAUAAGCCCGUGCUUUUGUGGGGGCUGCCCCCUCUCCCAUGGCAGGGUAACAGGCACCAGGCUGUUAAGCUGUGGAUGGACAACCGCACAUCGCAUUGGAUGUGCCUAUUUCAGCACGUGGAGUUGGCCAGUGAAUCCGCGGAAGUCGACACAGCCUACAGCAAUGCGCGUGUCCGUGGGGAGGAAGGGUCGUCCCGCCUCCCCCCCAGGCCAGUCCUGUUGCGCCUCCUCCUGCCCCACUCUGACUUUCGGGCGCCCAGGUGUCUCUGAGGGUCGCGCCCCCAUACCCUCCUCCACCCCAAGUCUUCUUCUCCCCAAGGGCCGGGCUGGGGGCCCAGGAGCGCCACAGCCCCCAUGGGCCCGGGAAAUUGCAGCUUCGUCAUAGCUAAGCCCGCGGCGUUCAGCUUUUCCCACCACCUGGAGGAUCCACUCUCCAUCCGUCCUUCCCGACCUCAGGCUGAAGAGAAAACUUGGGGGCGGGGGUCGAGGAAGCUGCGCCCGGAGGCUCCCAGCGCAGCCCCAGGAGGAAUCCUGCGGGGCUCGGCGCCGACAACAGCCGGAGCCGCGGGGCCUGCCCGGAGCCUCCGCGUCCAGGCGGGGUGUCCGCGUCCCAAUUCCACUCCGCCAUCAGCACUCCCCGCAAGUGAGGGGUUUCCACCUGCCCCGGCGUUGGCGCCCACUCACGGUCUCCCUCGCCCCCUCGGGAGACCUCCCCGCCUUCUAUCCCGCCCCGCUCUGGCGCGCCCCGCAAACGAUGUGACCCCGACAUCCUUUGGUCUCCCCUCCCCCGGACGCUGCUCCUGCCCCUACUUGGGGAGCUCCGGGGAUCUCUAAAGCCCUCAACCCGAGUCCUCCAACCCACCCGCGAGACUCGCGCACCAGCAACGCGGCCCCACCCGCAGGGACCCCGCCCACCUGUGGCGCUAACCCCGCCUCUGCGGCCUCCCCCACCGCUAGCGCGGCCCCCACCUACGACGACCCCCGCGUAGGUGCUCCUGCCCACACCCACCCCCCCAGCCAGCCCCUGCCCCGUUCCCUGCCCCUGCCCCUAGCGGCGCCCCCGCCCCUGCAGCCCCUCCCAGUGCGCUCGGGUCCCGCCCCUCACCGCCCAUUGGCGCUGGGGCCGGGCUGGGUCGCGGGCGGGGCGGCGGUUCUGAGUCGGCCGCGCGCGGGCAGGGUCCCCAUUGCCUGCUGCGCACCCGGACUAGCGGCUGCCCUCGGCCUCCUCGCCAUGGACGCGGACGACUCCCGGGCCCCCAGGGCUCCUUGCGGAAGUUCCUGGAGCACCUCUCCGGGGCCAGCAAGGCCAUCGGCGUGCUGACCAGCGGCGGGGAUGCUCAAGGACAGUAAGUUGCAGUUAUUCUUGAGAUGGGGCAGUGGCUCCAUGCUCUGGCCCCCGACCGCAGCAGCUGUCCCAACUAAUCACCCCGAGUGCUGGCUUUCCCAUCCGGUCUCAGGAUCUGCACUCGACGGGCACCAGGGCUUUCUUCAGCGAACAUCUGAACUCUCUCAAGUGUCUCCAGAGACUUUCACACAUCUACAAAGACAACCUCAUUCUGUAAGAGCGUGGAUUUAACCUGCUCUUCGAUGUCACUCCUUCACAGAGUGCACUGUUCAUUGCCACCCUCUCCACUAGUGUCAGCCUUACUAAAAGUCAAACAUCAACGUUAGUGGUAACUCUGGAGGCCUGGCAUUGUAGCGAUAUCCCCAAGAGAAAGUUGUUUUCAACCUUUCUGGGAAAAGUUCACUUCCCUUUUAUUAAAACACUAGUUUUUAUAAUCUCGCUACCAUGCGGCUUUCCUAAAGGAUGAAAUUUCUAACGCCCUUCAACUAGAGAGGGGUAAAAAUUAUUCUAGAACAUUAAUUGCCCACUCCUCUCAUCCCUUCUCAGAAACUAACUGAAUUCCAGUGGGUGCCUGGCAAACCCAAACACGGUUUCCGUUCAGGAUGCUGGUCUUACCUGUGAAGGAGUUCGUGAACUUGGACAGGGACCGGUUCAACAUUUUGAAGAAAGGGUCUCUGCACGGUUAUUUCCGAGACCCACAAAGGAUGGUAUGCUCAAGAAUGUGAGGAACACCUGUACUGUCCAUGGGAGUGGAGCGGAACUGCACGCUAGGGAAGAAGGAACGGCACGCUAGGGAAGGGGAGGAACAAGGAACGGAAGGCCAGAGAAGGGGAAUGGAAUGGAACGCUGGGGAAGGAGAAUGACUAGAAUGCAAAACGUUCAUCUUAGUGCUGUGGACACAGUUCCCAGAUGCAUCAUCACCUCAGGCUACUAGAAAUCAUCAUUCUGACACCACAAUCCUCUGACACAGGGUUUCCCAACUCUAAUGUAAAUCAUUGAUUCAGACUAUAAAAUUGUAUUUUGAUGAGAUUGUAA